rnacentral:rRNA from 1 species
UAUUGGACAAUGGGGGGAACCCUGAUCCAGCCAUGCCGCGUGUGUGAAGAAGGCCUUUUGGUUGUAAAGCACUUUAAGCAGUGAAGAAGAAGUUAUGGUUAAUACCCAUAAUGGAUGACAUUAGCUGCAGAAUAAGCACCGGCUAACUCUGUGCCAGCAGCCGCGGUAAUACAGAGGGUGCGAGCGUUAAUCGGAAUUACUGGGCGUAAAGCGAGCGUAGGUGGCUUAAUAAGUCAGAUGUGAAAUCCCCGGGCUUAACCUGGGAACUGCAUCUGAACCCUCUUCGGCUAGAGUAGGUGAGAGGGAAGUAGAAUUCCAGGUGUAGCGGUGAAAUGCGUAGAGAUCUGGAGGAAUACCGAUGGCGAAGGCAGCUUCCUGGCAUCAUACUGACACUGAGGUUCGAAAGCGUGGGUAGCAAACAGGAUUAGAUACCCUGGUAGUCCACGCCGUAAACGAUGUCUACUAGUCGUUGGGUCCCUUGAGGACUUAGUGACGCAGCUAACGCAAUAAGUAGACCGCCUGGGGAGUACGGCCGCAAGGUUAAAACUCAAAUGAAUUGACGGGGGCCCGCACAAGCGGUGGAGCAUGUGGUUUAAUUCGAUGCAACGCGAAGAACCUUACCUGGUCUUGACAUACACAGAAUCUUGUAGAGAUACGAGAGUGCCUUCGGGAAUUGUGAUACAGGUGCUGCAUGGCU